rnacentral:lncRNA from 1 species
GGGAAAAGAUGAGGAGCUAUUAAUAUAGCCAAGACAGGAACAAGCAGUUUGCAUAUACUAGCCAUGACUUCUCUGCCUCAGGUCCUCUCCUGCUGCAAAAGAGGACUGCAUGGAGGGCAGGGAAGCAUCAUCACUGAGAUAAUGGCUGGGAAUCUUCCAGAG